GAUGAACGGGAGUGUGUAAUCCAUUUGGGCCUAAGGCCCAAACCGGUUCCGGAUCACAAAACGUACAUGAGGCCUCUUCAUAUUCCACACAUACUGAAGCGAAACACGAAAAAUGAACAACAAGCCCCACCGUGAAUGAGAAGCUUCUCGCGUCGACGCCUCCUCAUUUUCACCGUUCGCGUCUAUGCCGUUUCAAAGAGAAAAUCGACUUCAGCGAUGUGCUCACAUUCUCCAUCUUCAACCAAUGAUAAGAAGGAUCCACGACUCGAUGAUUGCCACCAUCCGUGCGCGUGAACAGAGCCUUUCUGCAAAGUCCUCCGUCCUCAAAUCGAACUUCACGCCAAUGAUUCGUCGUUGCCUAAACAAAAACGAUUCGAAUUGAAUCUCGAAAUUUUGCUAUGGCGAGAGAGGAAUGUGAGAAUGAGAAUCUGAAAAUUUGCAGAAUCAAUGGUUUUUCAAAAUUGCAGUGCAGUAGAGUUUAUAUAGAGUUCAGAGUUUGUUAGAAAUGCAUCUCAAAUGCAACUGAAAUUAAUCUUAAAUUUAUCAGUUAGUUGGAAAUGAAUAAAUCUGUUAGGGAGGUUUUUAUUCUCUACAUUACGCUUCUGUUAUCUUACUGUGGAAUUCAAACUUUAAAUUUUGCAAGUGAUGUGUUAACUUGCAACAUUCAUUCUGUUGCAACAAGGAUGCACUACCUUGGUCUUAAAUUGAAUUGAGGCUUUUUGCAUCUGAACUGGAGCGAGCUGCCACGGUAUUUGGGUUGAGGUUUGCGGCAGCUUUCAAGCAAUGCCCGAGUGGUGCAACAUGGAAUCACAAAGAUGGCCAACACUGUUUCAUUUCAACUCGAGGCAUUAGGAUAGGGAAACAUAUGUUAGGAUUAUGUAUGAUGUAAAACUUGUAACUAAGCCCUUGUUUUAGGAUCAUUCAAAAAUGUAAUACAGAAAAAGGUGAUUGACUUUAUCAUAAUGAAUCUUAAUUCAAUUCAAAUGUACUUGUUUUAUAAUACAGAAGCAUUGAUAUGGAAUGUUGAUGGAAUUUGAAUUUUUUA